ACCGUCCAAAAUCUAAGGUAUCGUUUGGUUCGAGGAUAAGAAAAAAAUGACUAUUUCAGGGAUAGGUAUAAAUUGAGAUAUAAACAGGGAUUAGAUUAAUUUUGCGUUUGAAUGAAAAUUAGGUUAUUCCUGGGAAUAAAAAAAUAGCGUUUGGUUAGGUAAGAUGGAAUAAGAAAGAUAGUGAAUUUUAUAAAUAAAAAAUAAUCAUAUUAUCCUCUUAUUAUAUUUAAAUUUAAAUUUUUAAAAUUUUAAAUAUAUAUUUUUAAAUUUAAAAUUUUAACUUUGAAAUUUCAAAAUUUGAAAUUUAAAAUCUCAAAUUUUAAAUUCAAAAUUUUAAAUUUUAAAUUUCAAACUUUAAAUUUAAGAUCAAAUUUAAAUUUAAAAAAUAUAAAAUAUAAAAUUUUAAAUUUCAAAAUUAAAAUAUCAAAAUUUAAUUUUAAAAUUUAAAAUUUAAAAUUAUAAACUUUAAUUUUGAGAUUAUAAAUUAUAAAUUUUAACAAUUUAAAUUUUUAAUUUUUAAAAUUUUAAAAUAAGAAUAGGGAUGGGAACAAUUAAUAAAAAUAAUUUAUUAUAAUAAAUUUAUAAAUUUUUUUAAAAUUCUACUUAAACUUAAAUUUAAUAAAAAGAAUUUAUUAUAAUAUUUAAAUAUAAUUUACUAUAAAUUUUAUUAUAAUAUUUAAAUAUAAAUAAUAAUUAUUAAUAUAGUAUAAUUAAUAAUUUUAAAAUAAAAAUAAUGUAUUAUAAUAUAUAAAUUUAAAAAAAUUAAAUUUUUAAUUUUUAAAUUUUUAAAAUAAAAAUAGGGGUGAGAACAAUUAAUAAAAACUAUUUAUUAUAAUACAUUUAUAAUUUUUUUUAAAAUUCUACUUAAACUUAAAUUUAAUAAAAAGAAUUUAUUAUAAUAUUUAAAUAUAAAUAAUAUGUAUUAAUAUAGUAUAAUUAAUAAUUUUAUAAUAAAAAUAUUGUAUUAUAAUAUAUAACAUUUUAUAUUUAUAUAAUUUAGUUUUAAUUCAAUUUAUAAUUUUAAUUAAGUUUGAAAUUAAAGAUUGGAAUAGUGCUAUUCCACCAAAAUGGUGGAAUAACAAAUUCCUUGCUAUUCCGGGAUAACCGAAAAUAGCAAGGUUUGACCGGGAUAAAAUAUUCCGGCCAAAUUUCAUUCCAUUUGGCGAAAUAGCGGGAAUCGCUUAUCCCUCCAACCAAACAGGACCUAAGUUUAUCCGUUC
rnacentral:lncRNA from 1 species